CUACCAUGGCUUUCACGGGUAACGGAGGAUUAGGGUUCGAUUCCGGAGAGGGAGCCUGAGAAACGGCUACCACAUCUAAGGAAGGCAGCAGGCGCGUAAAUUACCCAAUUCUGACUCAGAGAGGUAGUGACAAGAAAUAACGGGUCGGGGCUUCGCCCCGGGACUGCAAUGAAACGAAUCUACACACCUUAUUGAGCAACAAUUGGAGGGCAAGUCUGGUGCCAGCAGCCGCGGUAAUUCCAGCUCCAAUAGCGUAUAUUAAAGUUGUUGCAGUUAAAAAGCUCGUAGUUGGAUUUCUGGUCGGGUGACCCGGCCCUCAUGCUGAGUGUGCAAGGCCGCCCGUCCAUCCUUCUGUCAACGCUUGAGGCCUUUACAGUCUCCUGCGGGCUCAGAUAUUUUACCUUGAGAAAAUUAGAGUGUUUCAGGCAGGCUAGCGCCGGAAUACAUUAGCAUGGAAUAAUGGAAUAGGACUUUUGCCUCUUCUGUUGGUCUGAGGGGUUCGAGUAAUGAUUAAUAGGGAUAGUUGGGGGCAUUAGUACUUAACUGUCAGAGGUGAAAUUCUCGGAUUUGUUAAAGACUAACUUAUGCGAAAGCAUUUGCCAAGGAUGUUUUCAUUAAUCAA
rnacentral:rRNA from 1 species